rnacentral:rRNA from 1 species
AACGUAGGUUCCGAGCGUUAUCCGGAUUUACUGGGCGUAAAGCGCGUUCAGGCGGUUUGGCAAGUCGGGCAUGAAAUCUCUCGGCUCAACCGGGAGAGGUUGUCCGAUACUGCUGGACUUGAGGGCAGUAGAGGGUGGUGGAAUUCCGGGUGUAGUGGUGAAAUGCGCAGAUAUCAGGAGGAACACCGGUGGCGAAGGCGGUUCUCUGGGCAUGACCUGACGCUGAGGAGCGAAAGUGUGGGGAGCGAACAGG